UAGCACUGUUGCCUAAGCCAUUGGUGCUCCCUGGAACUAGCUGGGAUUUAAUGCAGUGCAAUAGGAAUUAUUUGCUUCCACAGGGCCUUGUCCUGCUGUGGGCUGCUCCUUCCCACAGUUGGAACUUGG
rnacentral:snoRNA from 1 species